rnacentral:rRNA from 1 species
UGCCAGCAGCCGCGGUAAAACGUAGGGGGCAAGCGUUAUCCGGAAUUACUGGGCAUAAAGGGCGUCUAGGCGGCCCUGCAAGUUCGGCGUAAAAUCUCCCGGCUCAACUGGGAAGCCGCGUCGGAAACUGCGGAGCUAGAGUCUUGGAGGGGUGUGUGGAAUUCCCGGUGGAGUGGUGGAAUGCGUUGAGAUCGGGAGGAACACCAGAAGCGAAGGCGGCACACUGGCCAAGUACUGACGCUGAAGCGCGACAGCGUGGGGAGCGAACGGGAUUAGAUA